rnacentral:rRNA from 1 species
CAGCAAUGCUGCUUAGUGGCAAACGGGUGCGUAACGCGUAAGCAACCUGCCCACCACCGGGGGAUAGCCUGGCGAAAGCGGGGGUAAACCCCCAUGGUUCUGUUUCAUCACCUGGUGAGACAGCUAAACAUUAAUGGGUGGUGGAGGGGCUUGCGUCUGAUUAGCUAGUUGGUGGGGUAAGGGCCUACCAAGGCCUUGAUCAGUAGGGGUUCUGAGAGGAUUGGCCCCCACAUGGGUACUGAGAUACGGACCCAACUCCUACGGGAGGCAGCAGUAGGGAAUAUUGGGCAAUGGGCGCAAGCCUGACCCAGCCAUGCCGCGUGGAGGAUGAAGGCGCUCAGCGUCGUAAACUUCUUUUACUCACGAAGAACAGCAGGGAUGAGUCUUUGUGUGACGGUAGUGAGUGAAUAAGCACCGGCUAACUCCGUGCCAGCAGCCGCGGUAAUACGGAGGGUGCGAGCGUUGUCCGGAUUUAUUGGGUUUAAAGGGUGCGUAGGUGGGCGGCUAAGUCUGGUUUGAAAGCAGGUGGCUCAACCAUCUGAUGUGGCUGGAAACUGGUUGUCUUGAAUGGGUUGGCGGUAGCCGGAACGGGUCAUGUAGCGGUGAAAUGCAUAGAUAUGACCCAGAACACCGAUUGCGAAGGCAGGCUACUAGGACUUGAUU